AUACGUAGGGGGCGAGCGUUGUCCGGAAUGACUGGGCGUAAAGGGCGUGUAGGCGGCUGUCUAAGUCUGGAGUGAAAGUCCUGCUUUCAAGGUGGGAAUUGCUUUGGAGACUGGAUGGCUUGAGUGCGGAAGAGGUGAGUGGAAUUCCCAGUGUAGCGGUGAAAUGCGUGGAGAUUGGGAGGAACACCAGUGGCGAAGGCGACUUACUGGGCCGUAACUGACGCUGAGGCGCGAAAGCGUGGGGAGCGAACAGGAUUAGAUACCCUGGUAGUCCACGCGGUAAACGAUGAAUGCCAGGUGUUGCGGGUAUCGACCCCUGCAGUGCCGGAGUAAACACAAUAAGCAUUCCGCCUGGGGAGUACGGCCGCAAGGUUGAAACUCAAAUGAAUUGACGGGG
rnacentral:rRNA from 1 species